UCGGGGGGGGUGGUUCUCGGGGGUGCUCUUAACGCGAAACACCAACACGUGCUCUGCGGUUCGGGCCCUCUGAAUAAAAAAGGCUCGGGGAAACAGCUCCUCUCCCUUAAGCGAAAUCGCCGCAGAAGAAUCCCCAGACCUCAGUUCUGAGCUGGGAGUUACGUGGCUUCACCCGAGAGGAAUAAAAGUUGUCGUGAGGACGGUGACAGGUUUUGAGGAUCUGGGUUUGCAGCGUUUGGCUGGAAGAGGAACUGCUGGGGCCGAGGGGAGCCCUAAGCAGCGGCCUCAGCCCGGGCUGAGCGUGGUGAGAGGGCCCUGGAGCAGGAGGUGGCCCCCCUUGGGCACACGAGGCAGGUUCUGGAAGGGAGAUAGAGCCCAUCAGCCAGGGAGCACAUGGCUGCUGGGGAUGUUGUGGCUGAGCUCAGAGGGAGCUGGAGCACAUCCCCUCCUCGGGGCGUUCAGGGAGCCCCUCUAAAAGCACCAGCUCCACUUUGGUUGCUCUGUCUGAUCUCCUUCCUCUGGUGGUGGUGGGAGUUUCGGUGAUCUUCCUUCUGGAAGCCUCAGUAAUGUUCAGUUUUGAGUUCCUGAGGACCAUCUGGACUUUCUGAAGGUGUUUUUUCGCUGGCAGGGCAGGGGCUGGAGCUCAAAGCCGGGUGUCCUGGGACGCUGCAGUCGGAUGCUCUGGAGCAAAGAGCAGCUUUGUCUCAGGAUCUUUGGGGGUGCCUGGAAAAUAAGGCCCAGGACAGGACAGUGGUGGACAUCUCGAGGUUUCCAGGGGGAUUUGGCUGCUUUGCUGUAGCUGUAGGUGUUUGUUUUAGACCCACCUCAAGUGGGAACAUGGUGAUUGUGAGUGGAGCCUUUCGGAGUGAGGGGAAAUUGGGUUUUCCUGUAACAUCUUUAACUCCAGACCUGCUGCAGUGAGGGCUGUGUAAGGCUCGUGCUGGCUCGUGCUGAUGUUUGGGGUCGGCCUCGUUUCUCCCUCGCAGCCAGGACCCGUGUGCUGUUAACAAUCAAUAAUUAGGAAUAUUAUUAAAUGCACUGGGGAAAAAUGGGCUUGAUAAUGGCUGCUGGGCCUGCUGGGGGCUCUGCUCAGGGGGGUUUACGUGCUGCUAAUCCCAUCUGUUCGGAGUUUAUUGGGGAAAUGGAAGCCUGUGUGUUCCAGGUGGGCGAAACGCUGCCCGGGAUGUUUCCUGGUUGGAAAUCCAGGGCUGUGGCGAGCCCUGAGCUUUGCUGGCCCUCUCCUCCUGCAGGUGAGGCUCCUGGCUUCCCUCUGGCUGACCAGCCCCCCCCGAAUUGCCCCCUGUUCACACACCUCUGCCACAGGUUACCCCCUUCCUACAGCCCCCCUGGGUAUGAGAGACUCAUCCCAGCCCUUGGAAAACCCAUCUGGUGGGAGCGACCCUCCUGUGACCAUUAAUGUGGGUUUGAGAGUCACCUGGGGUGCUCAGAGCACGGAACUGUCACCUGAGACCUGCUGGCAGCUCCUGAGGAGCUUCUCCUUAUCCAGCUUCACACCCUGACUGAGCUCUGAGAGGGUGACAGGGGAGUCCCCUCGAGGAGGUGACAGGACCUGCUCUCUGAGGAGGGUGACAGGUGAGUCCCCACCUGAGGAGGUGACAGAACCUGCUCUCUGAGGAGGUGACAGGUGACUCCCCACCUGAGGAGGUGACAGUACCUGCUCUCUGAGGAGGUGACAGGUGACUCCCCACCUGAGGAGGUGACAGUACCUGCUCUCUGAGGAGCUGCCAGGAGCCCACCCUGUGUCUGAGCCCCCCCCCCAGGGGUGUUCCCUCCUGCCUCUCCCCCCCAGCCAGCACAAGGUUUCUCUCUCCGCUGCCUCCCGUGGCUUUGCUGACCUUGGGGUUUUUCCAUCUGCUUACGUUUCCACUUCUGGAAAAGGUUUAGUUUCUCCCCCCUCGCAAGUUUUUUGUCAAAUUCUCUUCUGGAUUUUUCGGCUUUGAGUCCCUCUUAGUCUCUGCCUGCUCCGGGAAAUGUGUCACAAGCUCUGGGUUAAGAUUUUGGUUGCGGGAUGAUUCGAGUUAAUAUUAAAAUCAAAUUCUUUAAACCUCUGAGCGCUUGCAUUUUUGUCAGCUUAAUUGACUCUGGUUAAAUACGAUUUAGAUGUAAUUACAAUAAGAAAAAUAUCCUUUGCCAUCCUUUCAGAAUGAGACUUGGCUUCAAUAGUCAUUUUUUUGGGGGAAUUGCUGGAGGAAGAUCUUUGAUCCACGUUUGCUGUGCCCAGGGCAGCUUUGUCAGCUCGUGGGUCCCAGCGAGUGUUCCCAACCUUUGUCACUCUGUAAAGCUUUAACUUCAUCAUGAAAGUUCCCGAUAGCAGCAGCUGGGAGGAUCGUGCUGCAGCCAAUCCCACAGGCCGGGGCUCUGGAGCCUCGCUUAAACAAGCAAGAGUUGAUAUUUUGGCCUUCUCCUCUGAAGAGCCGCUCCUGGGGCUCUGCACGGCGAAUUUCCCGAAAGCUGAUGUAAAUUAGGGACUUUUUGUCCUCUCCAGACCGUGGGGUUUUGCUGCUGAGAGGGGUGAGAGCGGGGCUGGGUUGUGCAGAGCUGUGUCCCACGUCACUGAGGGUUUCCAGCCCAGGGGAAGUGGCUCAGGCUCUGCUCCAGGUGUGUGUCCCAACCGUUGUGUUCACGGGCCAUUCAUCACUUCCCAGCCCAAAUCUCUUUGGUUUCUGAGCCCUUCUCACCUGCACCUGAGAUUUUUGGUGUGUGCCACGUGUGCCUUUGGUCUCUCUAAGGUGAGGAACAUCCUCUGCCAUCUCCAGAGUUGCUUUUAGUCCUGAUCACCUCCAGAAGCGCAGAAACUGCCCCAAAAGUGUUUCACUUUCCCUUUAUCCCGUCUAUUCCUUCAAAUUACUCUCAGGCUGAGCUCAGUGCUUCCCUCAGAGAUGUAGGUAGUGAGGCAGGGUUUAUUUUUAGAGAAGAAUGAAUCAUCUCCUGGUUGUGUCUUGUCUCAUUUUGCUUUGAUGAGAAGUGAAGUCAAAGAACUGGGACCUGCUGGGUCUGGGUCCCUGAGUGCACGUGGAUGGGUGAUGCUGCAUCCCAGGAGCUGAGCAAGGUGGAGUUUGGGAGUGCUGAGCUGCAGGGACAGAGCCUGGGGGUGCAGCAGGUUCCUGGGAUCUCCUUCUCAGGUUGUUUUGUUGGAGGACAGCUCUGAACUCUGCGAAGGGAAACGCACGUGUGUCCUUUCACCCUGAACUCUUUCCAGCCCUUUCUGUUUCCAGCUCUGUUCUUGGGCUGAGAUUAACGAGAGGGGAAGACUGU